rnacentral:rRNA from 1 species
GACAGAGGAUGCAAGCGUUAUCCGGAAUGAUUGGGCGUAAAGCGUCUGUAGGUGGCUUUUUAAGUCCGCCGUCAAAUCCCAGGGCUCAACCCUGGACAGGCGGUGGAAACUACCAAGCUGGAGUACGGUAGGGGCAGAGGGAAUUUCCGGUGGAGCGGUGAAAUGCGUAGAGAUCGGAAAGAACACCAACGGCGAAAGCACUUUACUGGGCUAUCACUGACACUGAGAGACGAAAGCUAGGGUAGCAAAUGGGA